GUGCUCCCCCGCCAAUUCCUUUAAGUUUCAGCCUUGCGACCGUACUUCCCAGGCGGCGCGUUUCACGAUUUCUCUUCGGCACCUCGGUAACUCGUGGUCACCGAUACACCUAACGCGCAUCGUUUACAGCUGGGACUACCCGGGUAUCUAAUCCGGUCUGCUCCCCCAGCUUUCGUUCCUCACUGUCGGAGCCGUCCUGGUGAGACGCCUUCGCCACAGGUGGUCCCCCAAGGAUUACAGGAUUUCACUCCUACCCCUGGAGUACCUCUCACCUCUUCCGGUCCCUAGUCUGCCAGUAUCCCUGAGACGCCUUCCGGUUAAGCCGGAAGAUUUCCCCAGAGACUUAACAGACCAGCUACGAACGCUUUAAGCCCAGUAAUAGUGGCCACCACUCGAGCCGCCAGUAUUACCGCGGCGGCUGGCACCGGUCUUGCCCGGCCCUUUCUUCACCAGUUAUUUACACUGGCGGACAGCCUGAUUUUACAGGCACUCGGAGUUCCCUUAUCACGAUUGCUCGCAUUGUAAAGUUUUCGCGCCUGCUGCACCCCGU
rnacentral:rRNA from 1 species